GUUACCGUGAUGGUUUGCUGUAAGAGAAAAAACAAAAAAGAACAGAGAGGUACAAAGAGAGAUUUCGUACACUGUAGAAGAACGGAGAUCAAAAACGUUACAAAAGAGAGAUCGAAAGCGCCUUCAGUCGAGCUUAUGAACCCAUUAAAACAGAUGAAGAGCAGAGAUCGAUAGAGAGAUAAAUUUCAAGGUAGCCACCACAGUCAUGCAGUCGAAACCAUUACCGGUGAAGGUGGAAAGGCAAAUCCUUGGAAGCAAUCCAAGUCUGAUUAGAAGCAGUACUACCAGGUAUAGUUUCCACUUUAUUGGAACCAUCACCGGUAAUUUUUUUUAAUUGAAUGUUAAAUAUGUUUUAUGUUUGGAUAUCUGGUUGGAUUAGUUUGAUUUUUAGGUAUUUGGGUUAGAAUUUAUUUUGUUUUCAUCUAGGUAUUUGGGUUAGAAUUUUUUAUUUAUUUAUUUAUUUUUUGUUUUAAGUAUUAGGAAUAAAAUGGUUUUGGGCUAUUCUAUGAUUAAUUUUACAAUCUGCAUGCUAUGCUGCCAACCAUGUCUUCUUUGCUAGAUGUUGUUUCUCUCUCUACAAUAAUCUAUACCUAAACAGGUACGUAUUGUUUUACACAUUUCUUAUAUGAUUUAUUAUGUUCUUUUCUAUUUGUUUAUAGUACUUCUACCGGAUGUUUCUUUACAUACAUUUUAUUUGAAUUUUCUUCAAUAUAUUUAUUUAAUUGUAUAUUGCUAUGAUCAACAUGAAGAUUAAUUAAUUUUUUAGAUGCCUCUUAGAAGUAGUGAAUCUAACUUUUAAUAUUAGUGCUUCUCCUCAAAAAGUCUAAACAUGUGCACAUUCUCAUGGAUUGAUUCCUUAAUGUACAACUUUGCCCAGUUUUGAAAUUGGCGAAUAUAUGACAAAAAACAGGAAUACAGUAGUUUUUAGUGGUAGAUGAUUUUUAUAUAGUUAAUUUUUUUUAGUUCUAUUACCACUUAUAAGUGGCCAUUAAUAUUAGAUUGAAUUAAUUAUGAAUAUAAGAGCAAGCACCGUGAAACUAAAUUGAAUUUUAGUAUAAAACUUCUUAAUGAAUAGCAAAGUAGAAAUUGACAAUGACCAUUCCACCUGACAAUUAUCAAUGAAUAUUCCAUGCCUUUAUUUGUGGGUCUUUUCUUUAAGUUCUCUUAUUUAGAACUCCCUUCAUGCCAUAUCGUUAAGCAUUAUGAUAUGUUAAUCAUGGAAAAUUUUGGGUGCAUUUUUAUGUGUUUUCCUUCUCUAAAAUGGGAUAUGCCAUGAAGUUUUGGGGUUUAUGCAUGUGCAGAAAUAAUAAUAGCUUAAUUUGUGUCUUUUAAUGAACCAAUGUUGUAUUCUAUUAAAAAUACACCAAAUUUUAUUUCGUUUUAAAAUACAUCAAGUAGGCUUUAGGAUUGAGGUUGAAUUUUUUUCCCCAUUAAUUACAUUUUAGGUUUGCUAUGACUUGAGCUACAUUGUCUAAGGAAGUCAAACACUUUAGUGAGAGUUCUGUUUUUUUGUUUAUGUGUCCUUAGUAUGUUUACUUAUUUGGUUAAUUUAUUAAUCAACGUGCUAUAUCAAUAAUAGGUUGUUGGUUGUUGCAUCUUCAUCAUGAUCACAAGGCCUCAUCAAUAUAGCUGUUCUGACAUAUAGAAAAAAACCCCAUUUAAAACUCUACAAUGCUUAAGUUAAAAAGCGAAAGGUUAUACUAUACGAAACAAACACAUCUAAAAAAUUAAAGCCAGACACUAAGGGCCCAUUUGGUAGAGAAGUUUGAGUAAUGUUGUUUGUAAUUUUUUGAAAUACGUGUGGGUGAAAAAAGUGUGUGUAAAUGUGUGUAAGGUUGUUUAAAAACUGAAAAUGUGAGUUUGAGCUUGCCUACCAAAUAGGCCCUAAAUCUCACACAAACAUUAACCCACUCAUCCAAAGCUAACUACCAUCAAAACUACCUAUUUUCUUCCUUAAAUAAAGGUAUUUUUCUGUAUGUUUUUUUCGUCCUUUUGUCAAAGCACAAAUUCACAAAGAUCUUUGUCAGAUAAGAUGGUGGGUAUUUUGCAAGAAGAUUACUAAAUCAAAAGGUUAGGAACCGCCAUUGUGAGAUUGUCUUACCACAAUCUUCAGCCUUACUGCUACUGUUAGACUGCUGGGACGUCACAAGGCAGCAAGAGAGAAGAGCAAGAAAAAAAAAUUGCAAACAAAGAAGGUACAGGCAAUAGGGAGAGGCUUCGGUUGAACUUUGAAGUUAACAAAGAAGACAGAAGGGUUUUUUUUUGAUGU